ACGUAGGGGGCGAGCGUUAUUCGGAAUUACUGGGUGUAAAGGGUAUGUACGCGGCCCUUCAAGUCGCGUGUCAAAGUCCAGUGCUCAACGCUGGGUGUGCGCGCGAUACUGACGGGCUUGAGGGCUGGAGAGGUGAGCGGAAUUCCCGGUGUAGGGGUGAAAUCCGUAGAGAUCGGGAGGAACACCUGCGGCGAAGGCGGCUCACCAGACAGAUUCUGACGCUAAGAUACGAAAGCGUGGGGAGCGAACAG
rnacentral:rRNA from 1 species